AUUUUUUUCGUUUAUACUGUUACACGCUCAAGUUUACUUUUAUACUAUUUUUGAAUUUUAAUUUUUUUUGGCAGUAUACUGCCUUUGGAAAGUUUAAUAUACCAUAGUUUUUUUGUUUUGAGGCACCCAACUCAUCCCAUUCAUUCUCACUUUGCCCACAGUUUAUUGAAACCAAACCACCUACACUGUUUGUGUGAAAGUGACUAGUUCUUUAUUAUUUUUUUUUAUUUUAAUGAUUUAAAAAUUAUUUAAUAAUGAUUAUAUUAUCUUUUGAUUAAAUGGUUGAUGGGAUGUGGGCUGGUGACAUGUUUUUUAUACUUUUUUUUUUAUUUAAAUAAAUUUAAAAAUCUCACACCACAUGUCCCACUAUUUAUCAAACACAUUUCCUUCUAUAAUAUUUGCAGAACAAGAACAACAUGAAGUACUUGUUCUUUUUAGAAGAUAGGUGGACUCAUCUUAUGAACAUGAAGAUAAGGUUAUAGUAAUUCAAAGAACACUAAAUCAAAAAAUACCCUCAAUCUGUGUUGGAGAACUCCGACUCCGAUUUUGAGUUUGAGCCAAAGUUCCAAAGUCUCCCAAAUCUGAUAAGCCGAAAGAAAGUUCAAAAGUCUCCCAAAUCUGAUAAGGUUUUUUUCUAUUGAUCUUGUGUUGUUUUAAGAGUUUUUUCAAGUUGAUUAUAUUUCCUAUUUUUUUUUCUUGCAUGUUUUUUUUUUGUUAGUCUUAUUUUAUAGUUUUCUAUUUGUUUGACUCUGUGUCUUGUUGUUUUUUUGGUUUUAUUUUGUUAACUCUUAGGGAAAGAGAAAAUACCAAGUGAAGAUUGUUCAAUCAACUGAUCUGUUCGAAGACAUAAUUAGGAAAAGGGUUGUCGAGAUUUUAUGAUUUUUUCUUGGUGUUUCUAUGAUUCUGGUGUUGAUUUGUCCGUCCCCAACCACGAAGGAGGUGCCGUUUGUGCUUUAUUACUGUUAACAGUAUAAAAGUAAAUAUUUUAGGUCUGGACAGUAUGAAAGAAAAAAAAAAAAGAGGCUUGGACAGUAGAAAAGAAAUUAUUGCCGUGUGGCAGUAUUAUUGUAAAACUUGGGGAAAAAAUAGUAUUUUUGUAAGUUUCCCAAAAUUUAGGUAUGUGGUGUAAGAACCCAAACAAAAUUCGUGGUAUACUGAACAAACCUAAUCCAAUCCAUCACCUUGUGUGCAAUCCGGCCCGAAAAACAACGCAGUUGUUAGUAGAGAGUGGAAACUAAAGCUGGCCUGGGCUAAUUUUAAAUGUCUUAAUUUCACAAAUACCAUUUAAUCACAUCAUCUUCUUCUUUAUCAUUUAUUUUCUUCUAAAUUAAAUACUAGUACAAAUCAAUGAGUGAACAUUAAAAAAGUAACAGC